GAUGAACGCUAGCGGCAGGCUUAAUACAUGCAAGUCGAGGGGCAGCACGAAUAGCAAUAUUUGGUGGCGACCGGCGCACGGGUGCGUAACACGUAUACAACCUACCUAUAACAGGGGGAUAGCCUUUCGAAAGAGAGAUUAAUACCCCGUAAUAAAUUGAGUGGCAUCACUUGAUUUUGAAAGCUCCGGCGGUUAUAGAUGGGUAUGCGUCUGAUUAGCUAGUUGGUGAGGUAAUGGCUCACCAAGGCGACGAUCAGUAGGGGAUCUGAGAGGACUAACCCCCACACUGGUACUGAGACACGGACCAGACUCCUACGGGAGGCAGCAGUAAGGAAUAUUGGUCAAUGGAGGCAACUCUGAACCAGCCAUGCCGCGUGCAGGAUGACGGCCCUAUGGGUUGUAAACUGCUUUUGUACCAGAGAAACCUACUCACGUGUGAGUAGCUGAUAGUAUGGUAAGAUAAGCAUCGGCUAACUUCGUGCC
rnacentral:rRNA from 1 species